rnacentral:rRNA from 1 species
CUGGCUCAGGAUGAACGCUAGCGGCAGGCUUAACACAUGCAAGUCGAGGGGCAACGCGAGUAGCAAUACUUGGCGGCGACCGGCGCAAGGGUGCGUAACGCGUGAGCAACAUGCCCGUAUCAGGGGGAUAAUCCAGGGAAACUUGGUCUAAUACCCCAUAGUAAUUUUGUAAGGCAUCUUAUAAGAUUUAAAGCUUUGGUGGAUACGGAUUGGCUCGCGUGACAUUAGCUGGAUGGUAAGGUAACGGCUUACCAUGGCUAUGAUGUCUAGGGGUUCUGAGAGGAAGGUCCCCCACACUGGAACUGAGACACGGUCCAGACUCCUACGGGAGGCAGCAGUGAGGAAUAUUGGACAAUGGAUGGAAAUCUGAUCCAGCCAUGCCGCGUGAAGGAAGAAGGUCCUAUGGAUUGUAAACUUCUUUUGUAUGGGAGCAAUAAGGCCUACGAGUAGGUUGAUGAGAGUACCAUACGAAUAAGCACCGGCUAACUCCGUGCCAGCAGCCGC